rnacentral:ncRNA from 1 species
ACGCCGCAAGAUGUUGACGCUCAUCUGACCCCAGAAAAAGUGUUGGUCGAUAUAGACAGCAGGACGGUGGCCAUGGAAGUCGGAUUCCGCUAAGGAGUGUGUAACAACUCACCUGCCGAAUCAACUAGACCUGAAAAUGGAUGUCGCUGGAGCGUUGGGCCCAU